rnacentral:rRNA from 1 species
UACGUAGGGGCCUAGCGUUGUCCGGAAUUAUUGGGCGUAAAGAGCUCGUAGGCGGUUCGGCAAGUCGGAUGUGAAAUCUCCACGCUUAACGUGGAGGAGCCAUUCGAAACUGCUGUGACUCGAGUCCGGUAGGGGAGUGUGGAAUUCCCGGUGUAGCGGUGAAAUGCGCAGAUAUCGGGAGGAACACCAGUAGCGAAGGCGGCACUCUGGGCCGGAACUGACGCUGAGGAGCGAAAGCGUGGGGAGCGAACAGG